ACAACGACUCUCGGCAACGGAUAUCUCGGCUCUCGCAUCGAUGAAGAACGUAGCGAAAUGCGAUACUUGGUGUGAAUUGCAGAAUCCCGUGAACCAUCGAGUCCUUGAACGCAAGUUGCGCCCGAAGCCAUCCGGCCGAGGGCACGUCUGCCUGGGCGUCACGC
rnacentral:rRNA from 1 species